CCUACGGGUGGCAGCAGUGGGGAAUAUUGGACAAUGGGCGAAAGCCUGAUCCAGCCAUGCCGCGUGUGUGAAGAAGGCCUUCGGGUUGUAAAGCACUUUCAGUGGGGAAGAAAGCCUUGGGGCUAAUACCCUCGAGGAAGGACAUCACCCACAGAAGAAGCACCGGCUAACUCCGUGCCAGCAGCCGCGGUAAUACGGAGGGUGCGAGCGUUAAUCGGAAUUACUGGGCGUAAAGCGCGCGUAGGCGGUCUGAUAAGCCGGUUGUGAAAGCCCCGGGCUCAACCUGGGAACGGCAUCCGGAACUGUCAGGCUAGAGUGCAGGAGAGGAAGGUAGAAUUCCCGGUGUAGCGGUGAAAUGCGUAGAGAUCGGGAGGAAUACCAGUGGCGAAGGCGGCCUUCUGGACUGACACUGACGCUGAGGUGCGAAAGCGUGGGUAGCAAACAGGAUUAGAUUACCCCGGUAGUC
rnacentral:rRNA from 1 species